CCUGUUUAUCAAAAACAUAGUUUUGAGAUUUGUCAUAAAUUCAAAAUUUUCCCUGCCCACUGAAUUUAUCUAAUAUUUAAAUGGCCGCAGUACUUUGACUGUGCUAAGGUAGCAUAAUAAAUUGGCUUUUAAUUGAAGUCGAGAAUGAACGGGAUUUUAAUCAGAAUCUGUCUCAAAUAUAGAUUUAUAGAAAUUACUCAUUAGGUGAAAAUUCCUAUAAUCAUAUAUAAUAGACGAGAAGACCCUUAGAGUUUUUAUUAAUUAAGUAAUUAACUUUAAUAUUUAGAAGUUUCUAUCUUUUGAACAUUAACUUUUAAAUUUUUGUUGGGGCAACAAGUAAACAAAAAUAAUAAACUUUACCAAAUAGAUACCAAAGUAGUAUAUAAAUAUAAGACAAAACUAGUUUUUUGAGUAAGUUAAGACUACCUAAGGGAUAACAGCAUAAUUUAAUAUAUAAGAUUAUGACCUCGAUGUUGGAUUAGGGCCUAGCUAGGUUAACCACUUAGAAAGAAGUGUUCUGUUCGAACAAAUCAUUCUCCUACAUGAUCUGAG
rnacentral:rRNA from 1 species